rnacentral:rRNA from 1 species
GACGAACGUUGGCGGCGUGCCUAAUACAUGCAAGUCAACUGAAAUACCGGUAGCGAAUACUGGUAUGGAGGUGGCGCACGGGUGAGUAACACGUAGGUAAUCUGCCUUCAGGUCUGACAUAACCCAUCGAAAGGUGAGCUAAUAUCAGAUGAUGGCAGCGGCUUGACAUCAAGACAGUUGUUAAAGCUUCGGCGCCUGAAGAUGAGCCNGCGUCUGAUUAGCUAGUUGGC